UACGAAGGGGGCUAGCGUUGCUCGGAAUCACUGGGCGUAAAGCGCACGUAGGCGGAUUGUUAAGUCAGGGGUGAAAUCCUGGGGCUCAACUCCAGAACUGCCUUUGAUACUGGCGAUCUCGAGUCCGGGAGAGGUGAGUGGAACUGCGAGUGUAGAGGUGAAAUUCGUAGAUAUUCGCAAGAACACCAGUGGCGAAGGCGGCUCACUGGCCCGGUACUGACGCUGAGGUGCGAAAGCCAGGGGAGCAAACGGG
rnacentral:rRNA from 1 species